rnacentral:rRNA from 12 species
UAGUUGCCAGCAUUUAGUUGGGCACUCUAAGGAGACUGCCGGUGACAAACCGGAGGAAGGUGGGGAUGACGUCAAAUCAUCAUGCCCCUUAUGACCUGGGCUACACACGUGCUACAAUGGUGCGCACAGAGGGCUGCAAACCCGCGAGGGGGAGCUAAUCUCACAAAACGCAUCGUAGUCCGGAUCGGAGUCUGCAACUCGACUCCGUGAAGUCGGAAUCGCUAGUAAUCGUGAAUCAGAAUGUCACGGUGAAUACGUUCCCGGGCCUUGUACACACCG